AGCCCGGCUCAGGUUGGAGUCAGAUACCUCGUGGGUAAAUCCUUCUUUCUCCUUUUUAUUCUUUUUUUUUUUUUAAUCAGCUUUUUUCGCUUCUUUUUAUUUAUUUAUUUUUUUAAAAGAUUUUAUUUAUUUAUUUGACAGAGAGAUAGACAGAAGAGCACAAGCAGAGGGAGUGGCAGAGGGAGAGGGAGAAGCAGGCUCUGCACUGAGCAGGGAACCCGAUGCGGGACUCGAUCCCAGGACCCUGAGAUCAUGACCUGAGCCGAAGGCAGACGCUUAACCAUCUGAGCCACCCAGGCGCCCCUCUCCUUUUUAUUCUAUAAGCUCCCCUCCCCCAGAACCCAUGCGUGCAUGAGCACACGCACACACCCCCCCACCCCCCCCCCCAAAGCUCAGCUCCUGUUUUUAAUGGUCUUUUUUCUAAUUAAGAAUCUAAUUUUAAGAAUCCAGGAGAGGAGAGUCUUUUCUGAGCUAUGCAUUAUAAAAUCAUCUGUUGGCCAAUGUGGAUCAGAAAGUUCUAUUGUACUAGAACGUAGGAGCUGAAGUGGGACAUCAGGUGAGUGAGCUGAGGGGUGAGUCGGAGCCAACAAGACACAUUCACACUCAGGGGAAAUGAGGACUCGGAGCCUCCAGACUCUGCUUUCUUGUGACCAGAACAAGCAGGUGGGCGGGAAGGCAGAGGGUGGGGACACGCGUAUACAGGUGACGCUGGGGGUCAGGCUGGUGUCAGGUGUGGUGGUGAGAACAGCCUCACAUAAGGGCAGUGAGUGGGGUGUCGGGUGGAUGACCGAGUGAGGAAUUACAGAGAAGGACCAGGAUGGAAACUCACGAGGCACGUGGGAGUGCGGUGCCCCUGCCGCCCGCCACCGUGGAAGCUCCAGGCGUGGGACACGUGUUUGUGGACACCAUGGGCCUCCUGCCUGCCCUGUGCUUUCCUUUGCCACAGGAACACUGUGUGGUCAGGAGGUCAUGUUUUGAGAAGCAUUGUUCUAGAAUUUCAGAUUCUUGGCAUGAAAUGGUACCUGUAGAUCUAUAACGUUUAAUCUUCCUAUCUGUGGUUCUAACUACGUUCCCCUGCCCCGUAUGGAUCCAUCUUGCUGGACGUUGCUUGUCUUGCUGACCCUUUCAAACAGCCGGCUCUCGGCCUGAUUGUCCGGUCUGGAGUGGGUUUUCCCUGGGGGCGGGAAGAACGGAUGCAUUCGUGCCUGCACCUUUAUUAAUUCCUUGCUCUUUCUUUAUCCCUGUAGUUUGGGCUCAGUGCUUAGCUCAUGUAGUGUGCAUCUUUUUGUCUUGGAGUAGGUGUGAACUGACUGUUACCAGCCUGCCGUGUGCAAACGUGCACUUCUAUUUCCAGCCCCACUCAGACGCGCCUCUGACAAGCCCAUUCCCGCUUGGCAACAAGAAGACUAAAUUUAACUCAGCUUAACCGGAUAAACAGUUCCGUCGGGCAUUUUUCUCUAACAUGGCCCAGUUUAAAGCUUCGUCUCUCUCCGGCAGUGCGCGAGAGCUCCAAUUUCUCGUUAACACCUGCUGUUACCCGUCUUGACUCUGGCUCCUGGUGCGAAGUGGUGUCUCAUUGUGGUUUGGCUGGUCUGGUUCCCGUGAUGCCUGCACGCUGGGGUCUGACCCGUUGUGAGAACUGUUGGUGCCACAGGCCCCUUCUGCCCUGGUCGUGGAAGAACAGAGAGAAAGACACAGCGAGAGACGGAACACAAGCAGGGGGAGUGGGAGAGGGAGAAGCAGGCUCCCCGCCGAGCAGGGAGCCCGACGCAGGACUCGAUCCCGGGACUCCAGGAUCAUGACCCGAGCCGAAGGCAGUCGCCCAACCGACUGAGCCACCAGGCGCCCGACAGUUGUUUUUUUAAAUUGUCAUAGUUGGGAACCUAAGCAGCAUGAAGAUACGUGGGCUGCUGUGGUUUAGAGAUGCCCCACCCUCGCGUGGAUCGUGUGGAAGAAUCUACCUGCCCCUCCUCUUGCAAGGAGGUUGGGAGCCGCCCGGUUCACGGGGCCCAGCUGGUGGGGGGGGUCGCGGAGGCUUCUGAGUCAGUGGCAACUCCGCCCCUGGGGCCAGGGGAUGCCUUGAAGGAAACAGAGGAAGCUGGUUACUACCUUCCCUUUCCCCUCUCUCUAGGCCGGGGGUCAGCAACACGGCCUCCAAAUCCGCCUGUUUUCGUAAGUGAAGUUCAAGGGCACGCGGCCGUGCCCGUGCCCACGUGGUCUGUGGCUGCUUCAGAGCUCCGGUGGCGGAGGUGAGCAGGCGUCACCGACCCCAGCCAGCCCUCAGACUGUUGACCGUCUGGUCCUGCAGACAAGGUUGCCAACCGCUCGGGCCCCAUGCCCUCUGAAUCCUGAUGAGAUGGGAGAGGCCGGUGCACACGGGUUCACAUCUCAGAGAACUCGGUCUUCACGGACUCCCGACUGGACCGCAGGGAGCUCCCGGCACGGCCCGGUGAUCGUGUUUUCCCCUCUCAGGAAACCAUUUCACCAGGAGGCCCGAGAAUCACGGGCCGCACCCUCGAAAACAGGAAAGUCAUCUUCUUCCCUGUCUGGGCAGAAGGACGAGGACAGAGACCCACUGGAGGGCCUGGGCCCCGGGCAGAAGCUGCAGGAGGGACGAGGGGCUGCAGGAGGGAUGCGGGGAGGAGAGAGAAGCUCUGUCGGCACUCAGCAUCUCAGGGAGCUGGACUAAGCACAGAAGCUCGGGUUCAUCACCCUGGGACCCCAACGUCAGCCGAGGGCUGGGACGUACCGAGGCCUUCACUACUCAGUGGUGACAAGGGGCCACACGUGCCCAGGGGCCAUCUGUACCCGGGCCCGCAGACACCUGCUUCACAGGGUGGUGGGAUGCGGUGGAGGCCAGGCAGAGCAUCGCCGGUCAGCCCGCCCAGCGGUGGGGGUCCGGGCCGUUCCCCUGCAGAUACUCUUUCCCAGAGAAGACAGAGCCGGCUGCGCUGGGGGAUCCACGUAUUGCCCUCAGAGCCUCGGCCUUCCCCACGCGAGCCAGACCGUCCACUUGGGGAGGAGGCAGGGAAUCCACUCACUCCCAGAGGCUCCGAGCCCCCGGGAGCUGAGCGAGCCACCGUGGACCCUAGCUGGGGAAACGGUGCUGCGAUGAGGAGCCAGGUGGAAGCUGGGGUUUGUGUCUUGAAUUUUGCUGGAUGGAAGUGUCCUUACAGUGCAGAUCUUUCAUUUUACAGUGAGCUCUCUGAAUACAGAGUUGUUUUUAAUCACAGCAGAGGAAUAAACAGAAGCUGUAACUCCCUUUUUCAUCCCCAAGUGACUGAGGACCCUGAAUGGAGCCAGGCAUGGGGGAGAGGGCUGGGAGGGAGCUGGCCUUCAGCAUCCCAAAGUGAGGAGUCAGCGAGAGCCUGGAGGUGAGCAGGUAGCAGGUAGCAGGUGAGCGGGUGAGUGAGUGAGUGGGUGAGUGGGUGAGUGGGUG